rnacentral:rRNA from 1 species
UGGGGAAUAUUGCACAAUGGGGGGAACCCUGAUGCAGCCAUGCCGCGUGAAUGAAGAAGGCCUUCGGGUUGUAAAGUUCUUUCGGUGACGAGGAAGGUUGGUAGGUUAAUAGCCUAUCAAAUUGACGUUAAUCACAGAAGAAGCACCGGCUAACUCCGUGCCAGCAGCCGCGGUAAUACGGGGGGUGCGAGCGUUAAUCGGAAUAACUGGGCGUAAAGGGCGCGCAGGCGGUGACUUAAGUGAGAUGUGAAAGCCCCGAGCUUAACUUGGGAAUUGCAUUUCAUACUGGGUCGCUAGAGUACUUUAGGGAGGGGUAGAAUUCCACGUGUAGCGGUGAAAUGCGUAGAGAUGUGGAGGAAUACCGAAGGCGAAGGCAGCCCCUUGGGAAUGUACUGACGCUCAUGUGCGAAAGCGUGGGGAGCAAACAGGAUUAGAUACCCUGGUAGUCCACGCUGUAAACGAUGUCGAUUUGGGGAUUGGGCUUUGAGCUUGGUGCCCGUAGCUAACGUGAUAAAUCGACCGCCUGGGGAGUACGGCCGCAAGGUUA